UCGAGGGGUUUGAAAGAGUGAGUGGCGGUGAGCGACCGAGAGGUUUUAAGGGGUGGGCAGCUGUGAACGGUCGAUGGUGAGUAGUCGUUUCCUCUCUGCCAUCCUUUUCCCCUUUCCUCUUACAUAGCUUUACAACAACCCUAAGACUCGACUCGACCCGAUCCGACCCACAAACAACCCAUCGUCGGUCAUGUUCUUCCACUUUUCUUUCUUUAUGCGAUUCCAUGCAUAUUCAUUCAUUUGUUGGAAUAUAUAGAGUGAUUUUCCUUGGAAGGCUAUAUGGACAGUGAAGCCUUUGAAUGGCCUGAAGCUAAUUUAUGAAUUUGAUUUUUAUGUUUGCUUGAUUUCCCAUUUUUUUAAUUAUGUUUGCUUAUAUAGUUUCUUCACAUUUAGGAUUGUUCUUUGGUUAAAUAGAUUUUAGGAACAAAAUUUGUUUUUAUCUUUUCUGGUAACUUAUGAAUGAUUGGGUUGUUAAUUAUUGCUCAUACAAGUUUUGCACCAUAUUUUCUAUUUUUAUCCAUUGAAUUUGUUGCUAACAAAACCAUUAUUUGUGUAGAAUGAAGUUGCAACCAUUCCCAAAUGUUAUGUUUUGAUCAAAUAAUAGAGAAUAUGGGUUUGUUUGGGAUCAAUAAUAAAGAAUAUGGAUUUGUUUGUCUAGUUUCAAGGUUCAUCAAGAAAUGUACGUCGACGCCAACAGCAAUGGCUGGGCUUAUUUGGAUGAUAUGACUAUAUUAGGCGUCAUGAUCGAUAUCUCUCUAGGGCUCUUCGUACAAAUUGGGAUUUUGAAAAAGAAAUGACCAUAACACAAAUGUUUGGGAUGAAUGUCACAAUUUGUCAUAACCUAAUUAGGAUGAAAAUAGGUCCCUUCCAAAGAUUGCGUGCUCGUCUAAGAACAUAUGGAUUGGAUGAUAAUAGAUCUGCCCCGUGUUGAGGAACAAGUAGCUAUAUUUAAUAGAUCUGCUCGUGUUGAGAAACAAGUAGCUAUGUUUUUGCAUAUGGUUGGGCAUGAUGAACGUAAUCGAUCUGAAAACUUUACAUUCUUUAGAUUCGGUCACACAAUUAGUCAUUACUUCCACAAAGUAUUGCGUGCUUACCUUGGAUUAUAUCGAGAAGUUGUUGUUAAUGCCACUACUCAUAACUCACCUUACAAAAAGACAAAUGUGAAGCCUUGGUAUUCAUACUUUCAGGUUAGAUUUUCAAAUUCCAUUACAUUUCUAAUUACAUUAAGUACUCGUGUUUCAUUAUCAAUAACUAAAAAAAUGUUUCCCAAAGAAUGCUAUGGGGGCCAUAUAUGGUAUGCACAUCGCCGUGAAUGUUCGACUAAAGGAACAAACUAGGUACCGUAAUAGAAAACAAGUAAUUUCUCAAAAUGUUCUAGUAGAUUGCACUUUUGACAUGAAAUUUACAUAUGUGCUCGCCGAUUGGGAGGGAUCGACACAUGAUAGUAGAUUGUUAAGGAAUGCAAUAUUAUGACAUAAGCUAACAGUACCUGUUGGUAAGUUGUAUCCCCUAUCUACUUCACGUUUUAUGCUUUAGUUAUAAUAGUUUAAUAUUCACCAUGUAAUAAACCAUUCUUUCAUAGGUAAAUAUUAUCUCGUCGAUGCCGACUUUUCAAUGGUUUCGAGAUUUCUUACUCCUUACUGCAAGACUCGUUACCAUCGUAGAGACAUAGAGGGACAACGUCCUAAAAAUAGUAAAGAGUUGUUCAACUUUUGACAUUCAUCUCUUCGUAAUGUCAUUCAAAGAAUAAUUGGUUUACUUAAAAGAAGAUUCGCAUACUUGCGACAUCAACCCUACCAUAACAUUGAAACACAAGCAAAGAUAAUCCUUGUAUGUUGUGCCAUUCACAACUUCUUAUAGACCGACGACGUUGAAGAUGUUUGUGAUGAUGACUUAGACUUAAGUGACGAUAAGGUUAACCCUACUCAUGUCGACGUAGCUAAAAAUGAAACAAUUAAUGCUGACAUAUCUUUUGCAACUGAAGCAGCGUGGUCUAACAAUAGGAAUACAAUUGUUAAUUUAAUGUGGGUUGAGUAUCACCAUAAUGAUGAUACUAGAGUAGACUACCUAGAUUGAGUCUGAUUGUUUUAUGCUUUCUGAACUAUUUAUAUAUCAAACAUGGAUAACUAUUGUGUUGUACUUCUUACAUAUCGGUACAGACAUUAUUUGGUUGGCCUCGUAAUUAAUUCGUAUCUAUGUUGUGAUAAUAUAGCUUUAUUUAUUAAGAUUGUAUCUUGCAUUAGUUUGUUCAUGGAUAUUCAGCCUCAAUAUUAUAUGUAUAGCCUCAAUAUUAUAUGUAUAGUGAGGAGAACUUGUCUCCAAUGAUGUAGUGGAUCAAAUAUUGUUUUUCUCCCUUUUUAGAUAAUCAGGUGGAAGCUUUGUUUUGAUUUGAAAGAUUGAAUUCAUGGCACACAAUGAACAGUCUUUUGCAGCCCCAUUUCUUGUGUCAAGAACUCCCGAUACUCCAGGAGUUGAGGACAUCAAUGUUAGCUCUCUUACCGGGCAUGUUAAUGUGAAGGUCAAACGUGUGAGGUGGAAUGUGUUGUAUCAUAUUUUUUUAUAUAUGAAAAAAUAUAAAAAUUGAACUUAGAAUGAAAAUUCUUUAUGAGAAUCUCAUAUGUCGAAAUAAGUUUUUCAUAUUUUGAAACAAGCAUGAUUAGUGUUUUGACGCGAAUAUUUAAAUGUUUGAAAAAUUCAAAAUUCACGCAUCAUGUUUCGAAACUAAGUUUUCAUGUUUCGAAACAUCAUUCUACCAUAUUUCUAUACAUAUUUCGAAAUAUUUUUUGUUAAGGUUUCAAUGUUUGCUAAGUUAUUAUGCUAUAUUUCGAAACCUAUUGGAAAUCUAAACAUAUGUUUCGAAAUAUAUAUAAUAUGUUUCGAAACCUCUGUUAUUUCUGUCAGCUGAGCAUUUAAAAAAUAUGUUGCAUAUGUUUUGAUAUAUGUUUUGAAAUUUUCAUAACAUGUUUCGAAACAUUUGACUUUAUUAGCAGAAUAUUUAAAAAAUUGACAUGCUUUUGCAUUUUAAUUCAAAAGCUAUUUAAAAGUUAUCUUUCGACUUAAUCUCCAUAUCCUGAUGUUUCAAUUUCAAAUAUUUUGAAAUUGGAGAAUAACACAUAAUUAUUUUGUUUUUAAAAGUAUUGUCUCUAAGUGAAUAAUUAGCUGUAAAGGCUGGAUGUUUCGAAACAUGAGAUGUAUGUUUCGAAACCUCAGUGUAAAAGUGUGAUAUUUCGAAACCUAUGAGGUAUGUUUCGAAACCUACUUUAUCAUCUUGUCUCUAAUGGUUAUAAUUAACCAAAACUCUAUCUCUUUGACAUAUAUAUAUCAAUUCUUUGAAAAUAAGAAGUACAUCUCCUACAAGCACAUAUACGAGUAUACAACAACAAGAGACAUUGCCACAUUCUCAAUCACAAGUGAACGAAAUCCUUUCAACAAGCUCUCAAAGAAGAAUCAUUCAUUCAAUUCCUGGUGUGCAUUAUGGUGUGAAAAAGAGAAGCAAACUGAAACCGACAUCUUAUCCUUCUAAGCUCUUCUCACCUCAUAUCAAUAGGUUUGUACAACUAUUUGAUAAGGUUUUCAUUACAUUAAAACUCUUGGGUUGUAAAAGAUAAGUUUUAUUUAUCUUGUUAUAAGGUUUGAGUUGAUCGUGUAAAAACUCAUUGUGUAAGGUUUUAGGGUGAACCGUGGUAAAACCCUUGGUGUGGUUGAUCAUUAGUAAAAGUGAUUGUGCUUGAAAAUCCUUCAAGUAGGUAAUCUUGAAGUUUGUGGAGUAGGCGAGUGCCGAACCACUAUAAAUCUUGUAUGCACUUGCUUUACUAUUUCUCUUACCUAUUAUCAUUGUUCAUGCUUUCAAAAGAAUCAUUUUCAAAAGUUAAAAGUUUCAAAAUAAACAAAAUAGAGAGAAAAGUUUCGAAACAUACUUAACAGAAAUAUUGGUUUCGAAACAUACUUAACAGAAAUGUUGAUUUUGAAACAAACUCCUUGAUAUUUUGAAGUAUUGUGUUUUGCCAUUACUAGGUCUUUAAUCUAUUGAAAAAUUUACUCUAAUCCCAAUUCACCCCCCUUAUGAUAUAUUUGUCAUCAUUUAGAACUAACAAAAUGAUGUCAUGGAUGGCUUCUUAAUUACUUCCCUAAUUACCCAAGUGCUAACAGGUCACAAAAGAAGUGAUAAUGGCUUCUCAAGCUUCCAAGUGUCAAAGACAAUUGAUGUUGUCUUUGUAGGAUCUGACGUUGUGGUGUUGGACAAAAAUGUAAGGGCUUGGCUUGAAAAAAGAAUAUGCAGAAGCUCAUCACUUAUUGAAUCUGAGUGGUUUUGGGUUAGAUCCCGAGACUGGGUGUAUAAUGGUAGAUCUGCUUGCUUUAGGAGAAGUUAACAAAGGUAAAUUAUUAUAUACAUGUUUCACGUUUUGCUUGAUUUUUUUUCCAAUAUAUAGCACCUUUAACUAAAGUUGUUUUAAAGGGUAAUCCUGAGUACGGAAGGUGGAAGACUAAGCUUUGUAAUCGAUAUGAGGACAUGGAGAUCAUAUUUGGAAAUGACUCUGCCACCGUGGAUCGCGUUGUUACUGAUUUUGACAUUACUUCCCCGGCACCAGUUGCUAACGAAGUGUUAAUGAGGUGGACUCCCAAACUAAGAAUGCUAAUCCAAGCCCUAGCGAUACUCGUAAGCGUAAAUCUGAUGAUGGUACAACUAAAGUUCAGUGUAGAUGUGUGCACAAUAUGGAUGACAGUGUACUGGCUUUUUCACGCAUUGCUAACUCUUCCAUGAAGAUUGCCAAUGCUAUGAAGAUGCAAGCAACGUUGGACACGCUUAAUCAUAUCAAUUGGCCAAUAGUUACGCAAAAAUUAGAGUCUAUAGAUUUGGACAUUGAUGAUGUCAUACAAAUGAUGGAGAUAUUUUAAGCUGAAGAAGGUUUGGCAAGAGUCUUCAAUCUGAUGACAGACGUUUGAUACAUGCGUGCGUUGGUGCUCAAGAAGCUUGGACGUGACUUGCCCUCACCAGCAUAGUUUAUUGUGGGUUAGUACCUGUAAUUUUUGUAUGUAAUGCUUAUGGAAAACUGAGUCCACUUAAAUUUUAUGAUGGUAUGCUAAUUUGUAACUCCUAUAGCCCGCUAUCUUUUGCAUAUAACAUGGGCUCACUUCUUUUUCUUA